rnacentral:lncRNA from 1 species
UUAAGAACCUGACUCCAGAGGCUUAGGUCGCUGCGGAGGCAUGGGUUCAUAUCCAGCCCAGUGCAGUGAGAACUUUCAUAUGCUCUGAGUGCAGCAAUAAAAAAAUUUAAAAAAUAGACAAAUAAAUAAACACUCUUUCAUAUUUCCACAGAACAAAUUAAAUAUAAGGAAUGAGUUAAGUGGGUGUUGGGAAACUGAAAAAGCCAGAAAGAUCAUUGAAGAUUAAACACCUGGCAUUGCUGUGAGCUGUGGUGUAGGUCAAAGACAUAGCUCAGAUAUCUGGUGUUGCUGUGGUUGUGAUGUAGGCCAGCAGCUACAGCUCUGAUUCUAUCGCUAGCUUGGGAACCUCCAUGUGCCGCGGGCAAGACCCUAAAAAAAUACAAAAAAAAAAAAAAGAUCAUUGAAGUAAAAUAAUGACUGCAGGAAGCAGCUUCCAUCCUCAGGGAAGUCAGGGUUACCAAAACCUAGAAGCUGACUAAAGAGCCCUAGUGGAAUUGUGGAGAUGUGGUUGUUGCCCAGCAAAGGGCUGCAGAUACCCCAGAAUGGUGACAUGAAGUUGAUUAUAGGCAUGCUGGAAGAAAACUGGAGACUGGAGCCAACUGCCAUUGAGUGGAUGCAUUAGCUUCAUAAGGCUGCCGUAGCAAAGUACCACAGACCAGGUGGCUUAAAGCAAAAGAAGUGUAUUUGCUCACAGAUCUGGCAGCUUAAAGUCUGAACUAGGCAUGUGGGCAGGGUUGAUUUCUUCAGACAGAGAAACUGCUCUGCUUGGGGCCCAUCUCCAUUCUAGUAGGCUCAGGAGUUCCUUUUCUUGGCUCAUAGAUGGCAUUCUCGCUGUGUCUUCAUGUUAUCUUCCUUCUACGUAUGUUUGUCUUUGUCUCCAUAUUUCCCCUUUAAUAAGGACGCCAGUCAUGUUGGAUUGAGGUCGACCUCAUUUUAACCUGCUCAUCUGUCAACACCUUAUUUUCAGUCAAGGCCGCAUUCACAGGUACUGGUGAUGCACAGUUUAAUCCACAACACAAGAUAAGGGGUCAUGGCUAGGGUGAUGCAAACAGAAACAGCAAGGAAAAAGGAGCAAGUUGCUUUGCAUCAUUUUGCUUCUGGCCUCCUCUCUUGUGUCUGUCUUGGGUCAGGUUGCCAAUAAGCAGAACUCCUGACAGGGAUCCUUGGGCAAGUGAUUCAUUGAAGGAGUACUCUUAGGAAAAAGAUGAGGGGAACAAAGCUAAGUAAGGGUGGAGCUAAAGAUACAUACUGGAGGCUAGCUGCAGUCUGACCCCACAGGGACCUCUAGAGAGUGAAUUGAACCACAAAACUGGUCCCAAGUUGAGGCAAGGGUGAGGUCCGGUGAACUCAUGUAUCAGUUAUUAUUUGCAGGUUGCCCCCUGGGGGACAUAAGGUAAAUAGAUCCCAUUCUGCCAAGAACAGUGCUCUGAAGAAGGGGCAGCUCUGAACUCUAAGGAGCCUAUAGUUUUCAAGCAAUAUACAUUUUCCCCAUAGGACUGUUCUUAGCCAUAUCCCACAAAAUUUGAAAUGUGCUUGGAGUUUCAUUUAAACUCCAAGUUCAAAGUACUUUCUUAUUUCUUCUUUGAUUUCUUCCUUGAUCAGUAGGUUAUUUAGAAGUGUCCAAACUUGGGGAUUUUGGGGAAGCCUUUCUGUUGUUGAUUCUAACUCAAUCCCAUUGUAGUAAGAGAUCAUCUAUAUGAAUUUAUUCUUUUAAAAUUUUUUUGAGAAUUUUUUACGGAUAGGAAAAUGGUCUAUCUUGGUAAACAUUCUGUAUACAACGGAAAAGAAUGCAGAUUUUGUUGUUGGGUGGGGUGUUCUGUAAGUGUGGAUUAGGUUGAUUUGUUUGAUAGCGUUCUUUAGUCUUCUGUCUUUAUUGAUUUUCUGUCACUUGUUCUAUCAGUUAUUGAGAGAGGAGUAAAUGUUGAUGGCUCUGAAUGUGUUAGGGACUUUUCUGUUUCUUGCAGUUCUUUCAGUCGUUGUUUCACACAUUUUGAAGCUCUGUUAAUUGAGCACAUCAGCAUUUAGGACUGUUAAGUCUUCCUCAUGAUUUGUUCCUUUUGUCAUUAUAAAAGGUCGUUCCUUAUCCUUGGUAAUAGUCUUUGCUCUAAAAAUCUACUUCAUUAUUAGUAUAACCACUCUCUUUUGUUUGACUAGUGUUAACAGAUUUCCCCCCAUUCUUUUAUUUUUUAUUUAUUUCUGAUUUUAUAUUUAAAGUGCAUCUAUUAUAGGCAGUAUAUAGUUAAGUUUUGCUUAUUCUUGUCACUGUGACAACUCAUGAUAAAAACUUUUUUUAAUUGAGGUAUUUAGACUUUUUACAUUUGAUGUGAUUACGAUCCAGCUGGGUUUAAAGUUCAUCACCUUACUAUUUGUUUUUUAUUUGUCCCAUCUAUUUUUUUCUCUUUUUAUUCUUUUGCUCUUCUUUUGGAUUGAGUAUUUUAAUUUAUUUCAAUUUUUCUGUAAGUGGAUUAGUAAUUUUAGAAUUUGGAGUAUUUUUAGCUUAUUAUAGUGUAUCUUUAGUUAAUAUUAUACAACUUCUUUAUAGAGGAUAAAAACUUUCACAGUACACUUUUAUUGUUCCCUCCCAGCCUUUCUCCAUAUGCUUCAUCUAUGUUAUAAAUAUCAGUAUAUAGUACUAUUUUUAGACAGGUAUUUAUUUUUUAGAUUUAAAAAUAGAAAUAAAAAUCUUAUAUUUAUCCACCUAAUUACCAUUUCUGGUGCUCCUCAUUCCUUAGUGUAGCUCUGUCUGAUACGAUUUUCCUUCUAACUGAAUAAUAUGUGUUAAUAGUUCUUGUAGUCAUGUAAUAGGAAUCUUAGCAUGAUGAUUCAGUUUUGGAUUGUCUUACAGUCUUUAUUUUGCCUUUGUUUUUUUGAGAAACAUUUUUGCUGGGUAUAGAAUUUUAGGUUGACACAGUCCCCCCACCAGGACUUUAAAGAUGUUGCUCUACUGUUUUUGUAUUUUUUCAAAGAGAAAUUGGUCUCAUUCUUAUUUUGUUCCUUUAUAUAUAAUGAAUCUUUUCUCUGGUUGUUUGUCACAUUUUCCUUUUAUCUGUGGGUGUAAGCUUUUUAAUUAAUUCUAUUAUGUCUUGCUAUAAUUUUCUUCAUAUUUCUUGUGGUUGGGGUUUGUUGAGCUUCUUGGAUUUGUGGGUUUAUAGAUUUCAUCAAAUAUGAAACAUUUCUGCUUGUUAUGUUGUUAAUAUUUCCUUCUUGUCGCCUCCUUUGGGGACUCUAAUUAUAUAUCCAUUAGGCAACUUGAAAAUCUCCCACAGCUCACUAAAGGUCUCUUGAUUUUUUUUUUUUUUUUUUUUAGUUUUUAUUCUUUCUGUACUUCAUUUAGUUUUCUGUAUUGCCAAGUUCACUAAUCCUUUUUUUUUCUUUUCUUUUCUUUUUAUGAUUGCACCUGUGGCAUAUGGAAGUUCCUGAACUAGAGUUCAAAUCAGAGCUGCAGCUGAGGCCUGUGCCACAGCUCGAGGCAAUAUCAGAUCCUUAACCCAUUGAGCAAGGCCAGGGAAUCAAACCUGAAUUCUCAUGGAGACUGUGUCAAAUCCUUAGACCGCUAAGCCACAACAGGAACUCUGAGUUCACUAAUCUUUAAUUUGCAAUAUUUAAUCUGGUAUUAUCUUAUUUCAGAUAUUUUCUAUUUCAAGCAUUGCAUUUUUCAUUGUGAAAAGUUCAAUUUGGUCUUUUGAAAAAUCUUUCAUGUCUGUAUUUUUCUUGCUCAAUCUUUCCUCUAUAUUCUUGAACAUGUAGAAUAUUGUUACAGUAACUAUUUUAAUGUCCUUGUCUGAUGAUUCUAUCAUCCAUGCUAAUUCUGGAACUGUAUUUAUUCAUUGAUUUUUCUCCUUAUUACGGUUUAUGUUAUCUUACUUUUUUAAGCCUGAUAAUUUUGUAUUAAAUUCUAAACCUUAUGAUUUUUACCUUGUCAGAUGCUUAAUGUUACAUUCUUAUAAAUAUUCUUGAGCUUUGCUCUGACAUUUGGUUAGAUGACUUGGUGAUAGUUUGAUCUUUUCAAGCUUCUUGUUAACCCUUGUUAGGUGAAACCAGAACCACUUUUCAUUUAAGGCUAAUUUCUUCCACUACUAAGGUAAUACCAUUGUAAUUGCUCUGUCUGAUUUUCCUUGAAUUCUGAUGUUUUUCCCUCUGGCUGUUUAGAACAUGAACUAUUCUUGGACCUGUCUGAGCUCUGAGUAUCUGCCCCUUUCAAGUGGUUCUUUCCUUUUUCUCGGGUGAUUUCUCCACAGGCACCAUGCUACUAAAUAUGAAAACUCAAGGGGUAUCCCCCAUGGGUAUCCAGAGCUCUUUCUCUGUAGGGCUGCCUUCUCUCCAGUACUCUGCUUUUUGAACUCCAGCUCUUGGCCUCUCUAGACACCAUGUGUCUCUCCUUAGUUCCAGGUUACUGCCUGGUUCUGUUUGGAUUCCCCCUCCCCUCCACUGCAGCCUGGAAAAUCUGCCUGGGCAGUAAGCUGGGACAGUAAUGGACAGUCAUUGUUUGUUUUCCCUUUCUCAGGGACCAAGGUCCUCUGCUUACUUAGUUGAUGUGCAGUGUCUGAAAACUUUGUCUAGUUUUUAAGUACUUACUGCAUACAAUAAUGUAAUAGUAACUGUUUAGUAGGGUGGUAAACCUGGUCUCUCUUACUCCAUCUUGAAUAGAAGCAGAAGUCUUACUUUUUUUUUUUUUUUUUGGUGAGAUUUUUGAUAACCAAAUCCAUUUCUUGAAAAUAUUAGGACAGUCAUUAAGUGUAGGUGACUGUUUUCAUUGCAUUUCAGUUUCUUGUUGUCAGCCCAUGUUCAUGUUGUUCUGCUUCCUUAGACCUAUAGCUUCAUAAAUCUAUACCCUCUCAAAAUCAUUGGCAGGAGUUUAUUUUUCCAUUUUGCCCUUUGUUAUGAGUAGUGAUCCCAAUUAAUUACAUUCACACUUCCCCUUCUUAUGUCAAGCCUUUCAGCUCUGUCCACCCCCUUUGGUUUCUAAAAUCAUAUUCAGGCCUUCUUCCCUUCUCUGCCGUUACUGCUGGGAACACUGAUUUUCAAAAUGUUUUUCUCCUCCUGCUCUAACAGCAACAGUCACUUCUUUUGUUUAUGCUAGACUGUGUGUUAAAUGUAUUUAGAAAACACACAAAAAACCUCUCUCUCUCUCUCUCUUUUUUUUUUUUGCCUAGAGGGUAACACCUGGCUGCUGUGUAUUCUGAAUUCGAGGAUGGGGAAAUGGGCUGCAGGCUUUCAAUAAAUGCUUCUGUUUUCAGCCCUAUAUUGUAGGGCAUCCUGGGUCUUUAACCCCUCCCAACUCUGAAAGGCAGAGUGGCUUACUCCUUGACUGCAGCCCCCUCCCCUCCCUAUAUUUCUUCUGGGCUGUGUCUUUUCCUCACCUUCGUUAUUGAACUCUAUUCUUCCCCUCACUUCCUCCUUUUUAGAGCAGUGUUGAAAUAGUUCACCCAUUGAUGAACUCCCUCCUGUUCUUUUUACUGCUCUGUGUUUACCCCUCCCCUUUAAAUGAUAUAUUUUUCUUUUAAUGGGAUCAGAGGAAUGAAAGGAGAUAAAUUCAUAGGCUCCAUUUGUAUCUCAACCUGGCACCAAGUUACUAAAGCUAGUGGGUUUGUUUUUUUUUUUUUUUCUGUAACUUAUAUUCAAUUUUUCCCCCAUUUUUAAAGUUUUAUGGAAAUGUAGUUGAAUUACAAUGUUGUGAUAAUUUCUGCUAUACAACAAAGUGAUUCAGUUGUGCAUAUAUCCAUUCUUUUUCAGAUUCUUUUCCCAUAGAGGUUAUCACAGAAUAUUGGGUCAGAGUUCUCUGUCCUUUAUAGCAGGUCCCCAUGUGUGCAUAUGUCAAUCCCAGACCUUUAAUUCAUACUAUUGACCAAUUCCUUUCCCUGAAACCAUGUCUUUCCUUGUUUCAAUAACUCCAAUCUCAACUGAUUUUUCUGUUAUUUAUCUGGAUGUUACCCCUCAGUCUGCACUUUCUUUUGCAUCUCUUUAUAUGUUUUUGUACUUCAGACUUGAUUCCUUGGGCUUCUUCUCUGCUUACUCUACCUACUGAACAUUUGUAUGUGGAUAUCUACUUGGUCUAUCAGAACUCUGCACACCUCAAACCGAACCUGCCAUCUUCACUCCUAAAUCUGCAACUCUACCCGCCUGUAUCUCCUGUUGUAUUCUUGAUGAAUACAACUUCUGGACCUCUAAUCACCAUCCCUGCUCCCCUCUCAGAUAUAAUUGGCUGUGAUAUGUUUAAUAGACUGUAAUAUCCUAAAUAUGGCUUGCACCUACUCACUUUUUCCCAUUCUCUCAACUACUGCUUAUUUUAUUCCUAUUACUUUUAAUUUUUAAUAUAGAAAAAUUAAAACAUAGUAAGAUGCACCUGUCACUCAGCAUCAAGAAUUACCAUGUGGCUCAUUUUAUUUUAUCAUCACCCCUCCCCCAAUUUUGCUCCUCUAUUAUUUUAAAGACACAUUCCAGAUGUCAUAUCAUUUUAUCAGUAAAAAUUUCUGUAUAGUUUUCUAAAGGAAAAGAUAUUUAAAUACACAGGCACAAAAUCUUUAUUAUGAUAAAUAGUAAAAUUCCUUAAAAUAUAUUUAUAGAUCCAGUUAGUAUUUCUCUUUCCUUGGUUAUCUCAUAAUUUUUUUAUCUUUACAAUAGAUUGGUUCAAAUCUGGAACUGAGCAGGAACCACACAUUAUAUUUGGUUUAUAUGAUUUUUUUUUUUUUCUUUUUAGGACUGAACCCGAGGGAUACGGAGGUUCCCAAGCUAGGGGUCAAAUCGGAGCUACAGCUGCCAGCCUAAGCCACAGCCACAGCAACGCAGGAUCCGAGGCAUAUCUGCAACCUACACCACAGCUCACGGCAAUGCCGGAUCCUUAACCUACUGAGUGAGGCCAGGGAUCCAACCUGCAACCUCAUGGUCACCAGUUGGAUUCACUUCCAUUGCACCACAGUGGGAACUCCCUGGUUUAUAUGACUUAACAGAGUCUUCUUUAGUUUUGAGUUUCCCCUCCGCAUUCGGUUGUUCCUUUCCCUUUAUUUGUUGGAUAAAUCAGGUCGUUUGUUCUGUGGAAUUUCCCACAUUGUGGAUUUUUUGGAUUACAUCCUCAUGGCAUCAUUAACAAUGUUUCUCUAUUUCUGCAUUUUCCGCAAACUCAUGUUAGGUAUAGAAGCAUCAUUAGAAUUUUUCUAAGAAUGAUCUGCAGAUGGCUUCUACUUCAUCAUAUCAGGGAACAUAUAACAUGUGGUUGUUUCUCUUUUCGUAAUAAGAUUUUUCAGUGGCUUAGUGUGUUAUUAUACUAACCAAGCUAUCCAUUAAAAAAAAAAAAAUUCCUUUUGAGUUCCCACUGUGGAACAGCGAGUUAAGGAUCUGGUAUUGUCGCAGCUGUAGCAUAGGUUGGACUUGAUCCCUGGCUUGGGAACUUCUAUAUGUCUCAAGUGUGGCCAUAAAAAAGAUAAAAUCCCUAUAACUUCUCACCUAGUCUUUUUAACAGCUACCGACGUUCGUUGCUUAAGUCCCUUACUUAUUAGGGGCUUAUAUUUCUGACCAGCUUUAUUGCAACUUCUUAAUGUUGCCACAACUAUAAUUUUCUUCCCCGAACUUGCACUGCUGCUCAAUGGAUUUUUGUAUAUAACAAAUCAUUUUAUAUGAUUUCCCUGCAUAAAAUUCUUCAGUGGAUUCCUAGUGAAUUCAGAAAAAAAUCCAAAUUCUAUAGCAAAGAUAUACAAGAGCCCUUAGUACCUGGUCCCUGCUUACCUGGCUGUUCUUUGCUUUACAUUCAUAAAUAGUUGAAACUUCCUAAAAUAGAAUUCUUCUUGAGGUAGAAAUGUUAUAAGAUAUUGGUUUAACACUAAUGGGAAUGAGGGGUGAGCUGAUGCACUGCUGACAUGCAGGCAGAUGGCAGGGUUAUUUUCAUAGCAUUGAUACCUAAGUUCUUAGGAACCAGAGUCUCUUAACAUUUCACAGUACAUGUAAAUCAAAUCAUUACUGUAUAUUUUAAAUGUAUACAGUAUUGCAUAUCAGUUAUAUCUCAAUAAAACUGGGAAAAGUAUUUAUAUGU